CCACAUAUACAUGAUCAACAUUCAAAGGUGUUUAUUACAUGGUAUUCCCUCAACUAAAGGUAUAAUUGUCAUGACCCAAUUUAGAAUUGUGACCGGCACUUAGGAGCAAGUGCUUCUAAGUAAGCCUCAUCGGUAAUUUUACAGAUAAUUGAACAGAGUUUCCUCUGUUUUUGGACCAUCUCAAAAAUUUUCCUGUCUUAAAUCAACAACCAAACAUCCUAAUAUCAUACCAAAUAAUUGACAACUUGUCAAUUAACCAAUACAAGUCUCCACCAUAACUAAACCACCAACUAACCACUAGAAAUACUAAUUUAUCUCCAACUUUGAUAAAUGAGAACGAUACUCAAUAUAAGACUAUAAUAACAAAAGAAUACUCACGACAUUAAAAUAAGGACUAUGGAGCGACUCUAAGAGAAAAAUGAAAAGAUAAUAACAAUAAAUAAAAUCUCUGCCCACGCGAACUAGUGCGAGGCUCACCGAGAAAUAUCAACUUGUGCGCUCUAAUUAACAAAAUCCUCGCCUGCGUCAGCUGCUGUCUCUGUAAAAAUUAUUAGCGGGGAAUGAGUCGUCAGCUCAGUGAGUAAUAAUACUUAACCACAACCGUUUUUAUUAGGGACAAGUCAGAAAAUAUGCUAGUAUAUCAAACAAAAAAUAGCAUAAAAAUGCCCUUUCAGAAACAAUAAAUAAUUUUCUGUCUCAUCAUGCUUUUCUUGUAGUAUAAUACAAUUAACAGUUCGGUAAUAAGCUCGGUAAUCACUGUCUAAUAUCAAUAUUCACAUUUGGGAGGUUUCAAUGAGCGGAUCAUGCAAUCGGUAUAACUGUGGACUUCUUUACAAGAAGUCAAAUAUAACGGCAGUCCCUACUCGAGGGAAAUCGGUAACGGUAUGCUAGUUCUACCUUCCCACUAGCGAGGGCUAUACGGUUAUUUGUAAUUACAAGAUGCACCAAGUCUAACGAACCCGCCAUUAGCUACGGGAUCCUUCAAUGUCUACUCCCAUUUAUACUUGUCUCUGUAAUCCGUAUAUACUCAUAGAAAAUAUUUUAAAACAAUAUAGGGCAUUUCGGUUCUUAUCAAAUCAUAUAAUUUCUUUUCGAUAAUAGUAAAUUCAAGUAACGGUAAAACAGAUCUAGUGACAACAAAAAUAUUUAAAGCAACAGUAAUCUUCUCAAAUAACUAUUUUGGUAUCAUAUCGAGUAAAAGACUUGUCCCACGUACAACUUAAAAUAAUCGGUAACAUAUUCAUAUUAAAAAUCAUGUGUAAAUCAUGCAAGUUAUGAAAACACAAAUUGCGGUAAGAUUACUACUCACAGUACUCGUGCCGAAAUUCCAAAUGCUUCACCUCGAGCAAUUCGUACAACUUCCUCCAAUUCAAUCUAUAAUUACAUAAUACCGGUUCAUGUUAAUUUCUAUGUUUAGGCUAAUUCAUAGCUAAUUUAGAAUACCCAACCCUCGAGGUUCCAUAUCUGAAUUUUAAUUCGCCGAAUUAUAUUCACCCACGGGAUGAGUAAUUAUUAAUCUAUCAACUCCAACCUAUUCAUAUAAUAUACCCUCUUAAUUCAUGAAAAGGUUUAUGGAUUUCUCUUAGUUUCUAACCUCCUCUUCUAACUCAGACUCAAAUCCCAUAUUAUAUUUGUUUAGUCUCGCGAAGAAUCAUAUAUAAAAACUAUUAUUGUUUCAAAAGAAGGAAAAAUAUAUGCAAUUACCUGGGCUUAUCACUGAGACUACAGAAUAUAUAUCAAUGUUUAAUGGAAAUAGUAUUUGGCACUGAGGUAACACCAGAAACCUUUCUCCUUUUCGUUUUUCUCUGUUGCUGCUUCUGUUGUGCCGUGAUGUUUAGGUUGGCUAGGGGUUUCUCUUUUUUUUUUAAAACCCUUUUUCUUUUGC
rnacentral:lncRNA from 1 species